rnacentral:rRNA from 1 species
CAGCCGCCGCGGUAAUACGGAGGGCGCGAGCGUUGUCCGGAUUCACUGGGCGUAAAGCGGGUGUAGGCGGUCCUUUAAGUCUGAUGUGAAAGCCCACGGCUCAACCGUGGAGGGUCAUUGGAAACUGGGGGACUUGAGUGCAGGAGAGGAGAGCGGAAUUCCACGUGUAGCGGUGAAAUGCGUAGAGAUGUGGAGGAACACCAGUGGCGAAGGCGGCUCUCUGGCCUGUAACUGACGCUGAGGCGCGAAAGCGUGGGGAGCAAACAGGAUUAGAUACCCUGGUAGUCCACGCCGUAAACGAUGAGUGCUAAGUGUUAGAGGGGUCACACCCUUUAGUGCUGUAGCUAACGCGAUAAGCACUCCGCCUGGGGAGUACGGCCGCAAGGCUGAAACUUAAAGGAAUUGGCGGG